AAAUAAGUCCCCAUUCAAAUGCCAGCUCUGCUUGAUGUGUGGUGGCUGCUGAGAACACCGUGAGAAUGAUUCUGAAGCUGUGUGUCCAGGCUCAACAGAUAGUGACUGGCAAUGUCUACCAUGAACGUGAAUGUGUUGGUGGUGGUACAUAUCCUCUUUGCCAUCCCUGAUGUAGUCCAAGCUUCUCAUUUAUAGUUGGGGAAAUGAAGUCACAGAAGGAGAAAGGACUGUGGUUAUGACUGUCAUUGACCGUCUCUGAUAUGCAAGGCAUGAGGCUUGGUUCCAGGCUCGAACUGAAUCAACCAUAGUCUGCCCACAGGAGCAACCAGCAGAGAGACUGACAGCCUCCGGGAGGAGUUCCUGGGACACAGCCAUUGCUGCCCAAUUCUAUGGAUCCCACACGACAACAAGGCCACCCCAACAUGGGA
rnacentral:lncRNA from 1 species